AGUGAUCAAGAUGGCACUGAGAGGAUCUGUGUUACUUCUCUCUCUGUGGACUUUUAUACCGGGUGCCAUUGCUUCACCGUGUUCCCCGGACAACCGAACCUCUGAUUUAUCACAAUGUCUGUCCACAAUGAUCAACAAUGCCAAGGACAACACUCGUUUCUGGUAUGGCACGAGCUACCCCGCCCGGUGUCCUAACCCCUGGGGAUCUGUGGAUUGUUUCAACCCAAACCCCUACCGUGCGGACAGCCUCGUCUCCCGUGUGUUUGGCCCAGGAUAUGUCCUCCAAGAUUCUUUGAUUACAACGUUUCUGAGCGUGACUUUUGAAACUGGAACAGGAUCCUAUUCUGGCUGUGGAAAUGUGUGGACGGUGACCGAGAACCGAAGGAUUGAUUUAGACCCAGCACGAACCUAAUCCCUAUAACAUGACAGAAGCAAUAAACUACCUCAAUCUUACAGGUCCGGUGGCCAUGAAUUGGAUGAGUAUCGCCAUCGAUGCGUACGCUGUCCAGCUGAUGAUUAACGACAGAAUCCUGUUUGCUUGUCCAAACCUCGUGUCGGAAGCAUUGAAAAACCAUAACCGGACGUUUAUCCCCAAGGGAGCCUCAAUGACAGUUUUUGUUGACGUCACGUUCUCGCCGAUUGCCGUUACGUUUACCUCCUGCUGUACCACGUAUUCCAAACCACAACGGUCCUUUCAGCUGAAUCCGCUAGGGGACGCUUCUGUGGGUUCUUGGGACGUCCGGUCUGACGCUAACCCUGUCCCUGAUCUAUCAGCGCUGGGAUUUUACAUGCAAAGAAAAAACUUUACUGGUAAGACCUUCACGCUGCUGUGUGUAGACCCAGAUGUUCCCCGAGCGACAGCGGGGACACAGGAGCGCCCCCUACUUCACUGGAUGGUUGUGAACAUCCCCGAGGGUCGGGUAGCUGAGGGGGACACGGUGAUGACGUAUAGAGGCCCCCAGCCGCCAGAUACUGCCCAUUAUUACUAUUUUUUGUUGUACGAACAAACAAAUUCGAUAAACACUACUGAGGCUGCAAAUUACACAAAUCCGCCAAUCUCCAGAUUCUUAUUUGAUAUUUCGAGCUUUACGUCUGAUAAUUCCUUGAGUCUGGUGGGGGCCAGUUGGUUUGUUGCUAAGCCCGAUGAAUAUACGCGCCAACUGUACACGUCAUCAGGUGGGAAUUUGACGUCACUCUGUGCCGGGCAACCGAACUUUGACACGCCCUGCCCUGUAUCGGGCUCCACCCACUGGGGGCCAACAUUGUACCAGAUGUUGCUAACUCUCUGUUGUUUCUUGUCAAUCAAAAUGAUUGUAACUUCAAGCUGAAACAUUCAGAUUCUAACUAGUUACAUGUAUUUCUUCUCAUGUUUAUACGCAAUGGAUCAAAAGAUCAUAAUCACAAAUCCAAAGAGUUUCCUAUAAUCAAAAGUUAUACAUAUAAACUUUUUUUUAUAAGUUAUUUUUUUUGUCUACAAUGUGUUAUUUUUCGUGUUUUUCUACUUUUUAAAUUAAUUUCAUUGAAAUGAUAUACUCACGAUCUUUAAUAUACAUGUAUCUGGAAUUAAAUUCUACUAUUUGU
rnacentral:misc_RNA from 1 species